rnacentral:lncRNA from 12 species
GUUUCAUUGUCCACAUUUCCAUCUUCGCAUCAGCAUUGUGCUGUCUUGAUUACUGCAGCUUUAUCGUAAGUCUUAAAAUCAGUCAAGGCAAGUCUUCCAGCUUGGAAACCACAUAAAGAAAGCAGGACUAAGGGGAUACGAGCAUCGUGCUCUAGAAUAGCCUCUCUCACUAACUAGCUGUGUGAACCCUGAGCUCACAGAGCCUCUCCGUGAUUGAGGUCAAGUUCUAAGAAUUGAAAAGGACUUUGGAGCUACCCUCAGUGUCUUCCCCUGUUACAUAAUGAUGCCAGUGACAAGCAGUGUGCAUGCAGCACCCCCCUGAGUGCCCAAUAUGGUCCCCAGCAUCAGGCACAUGUCCCUCACCUUCAUGUUCUGAGGCACAUCAAAUUGUUUUUCCGGUUUAGCCGUGAAGGUACCGGAGCACAGAGACGAAGUGAGUUGCCCAAGGUCACAUAAUUAGGACACAGUCAAGCCGGGACUUGGACUCUCCCUUGUGCAGUUGCUGUGAACAGCUAAUAAGGAACACAGGCGACGUUAGGGUUUGACAGAAUGUGCUGAUACACAAUGGGUUAUUUACACAACAUGGUAGUUUCUCAAGAUGUAAUUUAGCAAUACAAGAUGUGUUUCUCUGAUAGAGGCAAGAAGAGGAAGGAGCGCCUGUGGAGGAGACCGCACAUAUAUCUGAUACAGCUACACCCAAGUAGGUAUUAUUUCCAUCUUUGGAGAUGUUUCCAGUAGGUGACCAUUUAGUUCUUUAUUGACAUAACUUUUUUUGACUCAAAAUCAACAUACUAAUGUCUAGGUUAUAGUUUGGCCACGAUCUGUGACCUGAAAAUGAGAUCACCUGAAACCAGUCCUGGCAUCACCACCGGCUCACGCCGAGCCUCUGAGCACGCUCGUACGGCUGUGUAUGGCACCUCCAUUCCUUGAACUCGGCGCUUUGCUUUCAGAAGGCCUGUCCUGGUGCUGCAUCUCUAGGAUGCAGAACACAGUCAAGGGUGCAUAUUUGCAAAGCCUCAAGGCAGGCCCCCAGUCAUACAUCGUCUAAAUGCCAAACAGUGUUGUGCAGCUUACUGACAAAUCUUCAACAAGCUCAAAGGAUACAAGGCACUUUCAGCUGGGACCCCGGACCCUCCAAGCUGCUGGUAGGAGGCGUUGCCUCGCAUCUCCUUUGUGAUAAACUGUCUUCUGCACCAAACCGUGAGCUCGCCGAGGAACGUUACCGGAUGAGUCACUAUUUGUAACGGGCUCAAAACCAUGCCUGCUAGUGCUAAACGUGACUUAAUUGUUGAAAAGUUGAAUGAAAAGAACUGCAUAUAGUUUGAGUUUUCACCCUCUCUUUGGGGAGCAGCCCAGUGGGCUGCCAGUGGAUGACGUCUAAGGGGAUGAAGGAGGCCCACAAAAUGCGGGUUACCAUGAUAAGGAAUGGAGGUCAUUGCAUAAGUCACAAAAGGCUUGACUUCUAGAGAAAUAUUUCGGUCAAUGCACUCUGAUUACCUUCACUGUGUCCCGGCCCCCUGGAGCCCCCAGCCCUCCUCAUGAUCCCUGAGCGAGGUUCUCCGGGGCUCUUCACAGGGCCUCUGCCUGUGAGGUCUGCUCGUGGAGCCCAUUCAGAGGUCUGCCGCCGGCCUGUUUUGUAGGAGGCCUGUCCUUCCGGCAGGUUUACAAGGCCUCGGAUGCACUUUCCCCCACGCAGGCUCAGCAAUGCACCCAUUAUCCUAUGUGUUUACCCUACGUUGGCUCAUCUAAUUAUUUUUGCCAUCUAGGCCUUGUGGGAUUGAUCACAGUUUGUGAAUUAGUGGGGCCUGAAAUCAUCAGGUUUUUCAGGAUCUUUAAUUAUCUGUAAAGGUGGCAGGAUAAUUGCCUCAUUUAAGGCAAGACAAAGGGAAUUAGUUAAACACAAGAAAAAGAGACACAGAGGUUGGGUCUGAGAAAGGGUUAAGUCUCUACAAAUGUGGAUUCACAUUCAGGACUGCACCCAAGGGCCGGUUCUGAUCCCAACAGGUCUCUGCUUAUGAGCCCUGCCUACGUGUGAUGGCCCUCGUCGAUUUUUGUGCCAUGGAGGCCCAGGCUAUGGAAAAAUCUCUUACAGAGCCUGUCCAGGCUCCAAUGCUCCAGGUUUGUGAUUUUAUUACCAUCGUUUUCUGAAGUGAGGAAGAGGGAGGUCCUAUUGAAAUGACCUACUGCCAAAGAAAGGGUUCCGCAGAAGUGCGACACCUAAAAAUAAGUAUUCCAGGAAUUAUC